ensembl:lncRNA
GCGUUUUCAUGCAAAAGAUGCCUCCAUGAUAGUACGGUGUUCUGAGUGGUUGCUUGGUCAUUUUAAAGGGGUCAUGAACUGAGAAAUUCAACAAAUAAGAGGUCAUUGUACCAUAAAGACAUCCUGUAAGUUUCAGAGCUCAAAACUGUUUCGUUAGUCUAAAAACAGCUUAUAUUGAAGCCAAUCUGUCAAAACGACAGCUUGUGGAAUGUGCCUCUUUAUGACUAAUAGUGUGGCUAAACCCUGCUUCUGCAGAAGAAGAUCAACACCUGCUUAUACAGCACUGCCUCCUUAGCCCCACCUACCUAUUCAUGCAUGUAGUGUAAAUAACGAGAGAGGCAAACCCAGGUCUACACAGAAACCAAAUGAUAAAGUUGCUCCAAAGACAACAAAAUGCUGUGCAGUUCCAAGUUGUGGAAAAACAGUCUUUGCAUUGCCUUCCUUCUAAUCCCAGCAUUAGGAUAGAGUGGAUAAACUUUAUUUUUAAUGAAGAUCCAGACCAUGUCAGUAAGAAUUUGGUCUUUUUUUCCACUUAAUUUUACCGCAGAUUCAUUUACAUACAAGGCACUAUACGACGCAGGAUUUUCAGAAAGAUUGAAACUAAAAGACGAUGCUGUGCCGACUAUAUUGGAUCCAACAGUAAUGUCACACCAUAUAAUCUUGGAGAUGUUGGAUUAAAACCAAGCCAGAUCUUCAUUGCCAUACAAAGUUGGAACAAAUAUCGUUCAGUAUUUGGAGGAGUAACAAAGCAAUACCCACAUGUCCUGCAGUUUUAGGAUGAAAUCAAG